CGCGGCCUAUCAGCUUGUUGGUGAGGUAAAGGCUCACCAAGGCAUCGACGGGUAGCUGGUCUGAGAGGACGAUCAGCCACACUGGGACUGAGACACGGCCCAGACUCCUACGGGAGGCAGCAGUAGGGAAUCUUGCGCAAUGGGCGAAAGCCUGACGCAGCAACGCCGCGUGGGGGAUGAAUGCCUUCGGGUUGUAAACCCCUUUCAGCAGGGACGAAAAUGACGGUACCUGCAGAAGAAGCUCCGGCCAACUACGUGCCAGCAGCCGCGGUAAUACAUAGGGAGCGAGCGUUGUCCGGAAUUAUUGGGCGUAAAGAGCUCGUAGGCGGUUCAGUAAGUCGGGUGUGAAAACUCAAGGCUCAACCUUGAGACGCCACUCGAUACUGCUGUGACUUGAGUCCGGUAGAGGAGUGUGGAAUUCCUGGUGUAGCGGUGAAAUGCGCAGAUAUCAGGAGGAACACCAGCGGCGAAGGCGGCACUCUGGGCCGGUACUGACGCUGAGGAGCGAAAGCAUGGGGAGCAAACAGGAUUAGAUACCCUGGUAGUCCAUGCCGUAAACGUUGGGCACUAGGUAUGGGAUCAUAUCAACGGAUUCCGUGCCGUAGCUAACGCAUUAAGUGCCCCGCCUGGGGAGUACGG
rnacentral:rRNA from 1 species